CCAGAAAACGGCGGGCAGCGGGAAGCCGUGGACUUCCCUUUCGCACAUUGGUCAAAAAGCUUUUGUAUAGGAAAAAAGUGGCAGUCCUCUGUCCUCUUCUCCAUUCCCCAUGAAAGUCCUUUCUCUCAUCCCGAAGCUCAAACGACCUCUACUCAUCACAGAUCUUCCCCUCUAAAUUCGGCAGUCUCUUCUCCGUCGGUUGGCAGCUCUGGGAUCCCGACUGCCAUGGCAGGCUGCGCAAUCGAAGGUGGCUGUCCCAGCGACUACGUCGCCGUCGCCAUCUCUGUGCUGUCCCUGCUCCUGCUUCUUUCUCGGUCAAUUUUGCCCUUUGUUGUUCACAAGGUUUCUCCUAAGAAAGGCAGUGCCUUUUGGAUUCCCAUGAUUCAAGUUCUUGCCGGCAUCAACCUUGUAUCGUCACUUGUGAUGUCCCUUAAUUUCCUAAAUUUCAAAAAGCGGCAUCGGUGGCAGUCUUGCUAUGUCUGGGCAGUCUGGUUUGAAGGUCCACUUGGAUUUGGUUUGCUUCUAAGCUGUCGCAUAGUGCAGGCGUUCCAAUUGUAUUUCAUAUUUGCCAAGAGGCGUCUACCACCACUAAGAUCACAUAUCGCUCUCCUGUUGUUUCUUUUCCCAUGGUUUGCUGGGGCAGCAUUUAUCCACAUAAGGAAACCUCUGAAUAAUCGCUGUCACUCGAAGGCACAAUGGGUCAUCCCAGUGAUUAGCCUCCACGCCUUAUACGUUGCCAUUUUGGUUGCCUUUACAGGAGCCAUUCGACAUAUAGAAUUCAGGUUUAAUGAGUUGAGAGAUCUGUGGAGAGGAAUACUUUUCUCAGCAUCUUCUAUAGGUGUGUGGAUUGCUGCUUAUAUUCUGAAUGAACUUCAUGAGGAGAUUGGAUGGCUUCAAGUCUUGUCCAGGUUUUGCCUUUUAGUAACGACGAGUGUUCUUGUCGUGGUUUUCUUCUGUGUGUCAAGUUCACAACCUCUCCUCUCCCAAAUUAGUUUGAGGAAAAGGGAGCCUCUGAGGUGCAAGACGAUGGGCCAAGCUCUAGGCAUACCAGACAGUGGACUUCUCUUACGAAGUGAAGCAAAUCCUCCAAUAGAUCCCAAUGAGCCUCUAGAAAAGCUUCUCCUCAACAAAAGAUUCCGUCAAUCCUUUAUGGCAUUUGCUGAUAGUUGUUUGGCCGGGGAGAGUGUGCAUUUCUAUGAUGAUGUCCACGAGCUUGGUAAAAUUCCUGCAGAUGACUCCAUUCGAAGGAUCUAUAUGGCACGGGAUAUCAUUGAUAAAUACAUAGUUGCAGGUGCUUCAAUGGAGGUGAACAUUUCUCAUAGAUGCAGGCAGGAGAUUCUGACGACUCCUAAUCUAACUCAUCCUCAUCUUUUCGAUAAUGCGCUGAACGAGCUCCUGCAGUUGAUGAAAAUGAAUUUGGCGAGAGAUUAUUGGUCCUCGAUGUUCUUCCUGAAGUUCAAAGAGGAAGCAAGCUUGAGAUUGAAUGGUCAUGAGCUAGAACGAAUGUCAGGCUGGAAUUUCUCCCCGAGGCUGAGUGCUGUACAUGGCUCUGAUGAUCCCUUUCACCACGAUCAUCUGUCAAGGAGCUCUGACCACAAUGAUAAAGACACACCCCUGAGCUGAGUUCGAAGAUAAAAUCGUCAACUACCACAAGUUGUGAAUCCACCACCAACUGAAUGAAGUCUCGGUUGCAAAGAGACGAACAAGUUACGAAACCAGAGGACUUGCUCAGCAAAUACAGAGUGAAGAAAACUAAACGAGGAGUAGAGGACACGGAUAGUGAAAGAGGAACCAUGAGCUGUAGGUCCUGCAGAUAUCCUGCCAUUGAGGUGCUUUCCCAGUAUCGUAGAAGAACUGUGGCUCUAUUCAAAUCAUCAAUGCCGCAUUAAUUUGCUUCGGCAAGAAUUGUUUGGAAUGAUGAAAUUGCAAUUUCAUCCACAACACACACAUGAGGUUAUGCUAUUCCUCUCCUUGCAUCUCCAGUUAAAUGUUGGGGGCGCGACUUUCCUUUUGAAAGGAAAAUAUGUAACACAUGCAUUGACAUGGUACCGUCACUUAUCGAAGCACUGCAAGCGCAUACAUGUGGGGUCCUUCUGGUGGGAUGCAUCUCUCGUCCUCGUGAAUAUAUGAUGUAUCCGAUACCUGCAUGAAUAUGAGAUUGAGUAUUAAAAGUUUAAAUGCGUUUCUUUAGGCUCAAACUUGUGUUCUUCCAUUGUAAGGAUUGAGUUACUUACCAUUCAAACAACACUUUGAUAGUUUGGCAGCUAAUUUUUUCGGUGUGUA